UUGUAUUUAACCAGAUUAUGCAAACUACACAGUCCGGAGGAAACAAAAGAGCUCUUUCUCUGGAGAACUUCCUUCAGAACCUGCAAUGACAGGCUGGGAUGGGUGAGGGAGACCUCUGUCAACACAAUGAAGCCUGCUUAAUGUGUUUAUUUACAGGGCAACGAUACCCUGCUCAUAUUAAACAUCCCAGGAAUCAAUGGUUUCUGCUAAUUCUUAAAAGAACCUUCUCAGACUCACACUUAUCUAUGUGCUUCUGCGUGUAUUAACAGAUAGAAGAGUGCACGGAAGCCUCACAGGCUGGGAAGGCCUGGAUAGAAGCAAACUGGGUUUGUAGAAGAAAUAAAGAAAAACAGCAGUGAAGCAAAGGAUGGCUUGGGAAGAACUGAGACGAGUCUGGAAGGCAUUAACAUUUCAACAAGCCCAUGACUUUUAUUCUCACCAGCCUUCCUCCGGCUCUCUCACCACGAAAGGCAGAUUUUGCUGGCAGCUAUUUGCAUAGAAUGUUGUGAGAUGGAGAAGGGGAUUGCUUUGCCUAUACGAACACCAUUUGUAGCCCUUACCUUCCUCUCAGCUCUUCAGAAAUACCUCUCCUGAAAAGCACUACAUCCCACUGAGUAGCAAGGAGAAGAAAACAACCCCACAGAUUCUACCCUUCACUCACCUUCAACGUGAGCCGUCAUCCUGGAGACACAAAGAGGAAACAUCAAGCACAGCCUGAACAAAAGCAAUCCUUAGCAGCCUAUGCCAUUUUGGAAUGAUGUUGCCAACAGAAACACGAACUCUGUCUUCCAAACCUUUUCCUGUUGGCACCCACCACUAGGACCUCCCUUACAGCCAAAGAUUUGAAGUCUCUUUGAAAACUUGGAGGUGGGGUGUUCUUCCCAGGUGACCUUAUUUCCAGCUAAUCUCUUGCUUGUAAACUGUUUCAGCUGAGGUAAUUUUCACAAUAACCUUGCUGCUGAUUGAGAUGAAAGAUGUCAAAGAAGGUUCUCCUUGGGUCAGCAGAAUGUCUGUGAACAAUGUGAGGCAUUGGAAAAGGCUGCCCAGGGAGAUGGUGGAGUCAUUGUUCUUGGAGGUGUUAAAGAAAGGGCAGAUGUUUCAUUGAGUGAUGUGAUUUAGUAGUAUGGUGGUAAUAGGUGGAUGGUUGGGCUAGAUGACCUUCAGUGGUCUUUCCAACCUCAAUGAUUCUAUUGGAUAAGGUCAGAGUGAAGUAAUUGGUAACUCUGAAUAAGUCAUGUGAAGCACUUGAUCAUCACCAGAGUAUCAUUUGCUGCUCACACCUUACCUGUCAAAGGUUUAUUUUCUUCUCUACCUUUCAAAUAAUUAGCAGUUCUCCAACACAGUUUGGCAGAAGAUGAUAUGUUUCUGAUCAUGGCUCAGCAAUCACAGGACAAGUAUGGAGUGGCCAUAGGAACUUGGAGAGGCCGUGAUAGUCCUUUGAAUGCUUUUAUGAAUUUGCCUUACGCUUGCUGUUUUAGUCUUCCCUGCUUUACCAACGCUUGCUAAAAGCACAAAUCUUUUUCAAACAGAUUCUAAAUAUUUUAGGACACUUUUUCAAAGUAUCACAGUUCAGAUUCAUAACCAGGAUUACUCAGAAUUACUCAGAACAGAAAUUCAAACUUCAAGAGGCACACUUAUCUAACCAGAGAACGGAUCCUACCGGGGAACAGACAUACCUAACACAAAUAGCUCAAGUCACGAACUUUGAAUGUGAAAUGGUCCCAGCCAAUUGCUUAAAGAAACACUGCCAGUGAAGAAAGAUUUCAGAAGUGAUUCACCAAACAGCUCAAGAAAAAUGCAAUCUCUUCAUGGACGCUUCACAAACUGAAUAUUCCAUUUGUUGAAUGAUAUUCAUUACAGACAAUUGUUCUGUCUACUGUGAAAACAGUUGGGGCUCUCAGGUGGUCCCUCUAACAUUUACAACACUUGUAACACACAGUGUCUCGAGGCCAGGCAACUUUGUGCAGAACUUUUGCACAAAGUAUUAAAAAAUUAUACUAAAUAUCUAAAGCAAAAAAUAGCAGUAGAAGAUUUUCUUUCAUUUUCCUGUUUUUCCUUUUCACAUAAGGUAGCAAUUACUGCACAAAGGGCAGUAAUAGCAGCUUAGGUAAUGUGAAAUCAUACUGAAGGACUGCACUUUUGAAGGAGCACCUUUUUGGAGGUGAGGAAGUAUUUUCUACUGCAUGGCAACGCUGAUGUAAGCUGGAGCUUACAUCUGUGUGUCUUUACCAACAUGUUAUGCAGCCUCUACCAGAGUUUAUACAGCAUGUCCCAAACUACAAAGUGGGAAGAAACUGCUAUUCAAGAAAGCACCCUCAGGUCCCAAGGGCUGGACUUACUUGCAAAAUAAUAAGUUGUACCAUGAGAUCAGUGGGAUUUCUUCAGAGCCUCUCUCUCAUGUGUGCUGGCCUAACAAGAUACUGAUGGGACCCCAGAGAGAAAGAAUCAUAGGAUCAUUAAGCUUGGAAAGACCAUGAAGAUUAUCUAGUCCAACCAUUACCCCACCCCCACUGUAUCACUAAGCCAUGACACUCAAUGCAACAUCUACUCUUUUCUUAAAUGCCUCCAGGGACAGUGAGUCCACCACCUCCCUGGGCAGUCUGUUCCAAUGCAUCACCACUCUUUCUGAGAAGAAACUUUUCCUAGUAUCCAACCUGAACAUCCCCUGGCACAACUUAGGAAGAAUUAGGGAAACACAAGAGUUCCUAUUUCUUUAGAUAAUGCAGCACCAUUCCCUAGUGCAUACUCCCCUCUUGUUUGCAAAAGAAUAUGAAGUAUUAGUUGAAAAUACUCAUAUUAUUACUGUUGUUAUUUAGUGAUUUAUGAAUUUGGUUUGUUUACUAGUUCUGUUUACUAUUUCCUUCUUAUAAGAAUGUCAUCACAGAGGGAUGUUGUUCUGGAAAUACAUUUUUAUCAAAAGGAGGCAAACGUUUUCUGCCAUUCUUUUGCCUUGUCUGGUUAUUCCCUCACUGCUCAAUCCUCUGGGAAGCAAACAGACACAUCAGAGAUUAGCAGCAAGGCCACCUGAUGCUUUACUGCUCAUCUGUGUUUGCUCACUGAGUCACAGCUUGGUCUGCCCUAGGUGCAUUGGGGCCGUGAGACCUCUCCCUGCUCCUGCCUGGACCUGCCACCUUGGAACAUGCAGUACGUGAGCUCCCGAGCUGAAAACAAGGGUUUUGCCAGGUGCUGCUGACAGCGGUGCUGCUCAGGGUUUGCUGCCAGCCCUUUUUUCAUUUCCUGGGGCAUGGAAGACCAUGUGCAUAUGCAUUCAUAUAUUCUCCCCUCCCAGUUCAUAACCUCCGAGGUGGCCUGAGCACCCCAUAUGCAAUGGAGUUAGGCCAGCAGCUUCACAAAGUGAUUCAUCACAUCAGGAGGAAGACAUUAAGACAAAGAGAGGCUUGUGUUGGAGGGGGGAACUCAAACAGUUGUUGAUGCUGCAAAAUCCGAAGGGCCUUGGCUGAUAAAGUAAAAACCCAAUCAGGUUUAAUGAGCACUGGGGUACAUCCAUGCUGUCAGAAUAGAGACACCUCUCCAGCUGCCCUAGCAGCUCAGGGGUCCCUCACACAGAGUAUCUUUAGAAGAAAGCCUGCAAAUAAUGGAACAAGUAUACUUAUCCUUUGUUUUAUUUUUGUUAUGUAUUAUGUAAUAUUAUUAUGUGAAUAUUUUUAAAUUAAA
ensembl:lncRNA